AAGUCGUAACAAGGUUUCCGUAGGUGAACCUGCGGAAGGAUCAUUAACACGUAUCCAACGUUAAACAACCCUGUGAACCUUGAACGUGCUCUCGCACACGCUCUAGCAGCAAUCCCUGGUAAAUCAUUGUUGACCAGCUAUUGAGUCAGGGACCUCUGCUUUAAAAUGAUGCGAUACGAGCGCCAGAGUAAGUGCGGCCUGGCAUCCUAGCAAUCUGUCAGUGGUUGCGCAAGGAUGGCGCAGUAAACGAUCGCUGUAGGCCCACACGGCCGGCGACCGGGCCUCUGUGCUUCGGCACCUAACGACCCCAUGUUUCGUACCCGGUGCGCUGUAACAACCGCACCACAAACUCGAACAACUAUAUCUUGGUUCUC
rnacentral:misc_RNA from 1 species